rnacentral:lncRNA from 1 species
CUUACAUCUUUAUCUCUUUCAUCUAAAGAAAAUGUUCAUUUUUCUAUAGGACUUACUUAUGGAAGAUUAAUUUUUAAAAAAUAUUUAUUCUUAAGCUUUAGGUGGACACAAUAUUUAAGUGUUGCUGAGGAUCGAACCCAGUGCCUCGUGCAUGCUAGGCGAGCACUCUACCACUGAGCCACAACCCCAGCCCAGGAAUAUUAAUUUUUUAAGUAGGAUUUUUUGGAUGGUUUGUCUUAGGUGGAAACAACUAUAUUGGAUGAUUUAG